AUUCCAGCUCCAGUAGCGUAUAUUAAUGUUGUUGCAGUUAAAAAGCUCGUAGUUGGAUUUCUGACUUGACGCGCCUGGCCCGCCUUGCAUUUCGCGGGUGAGUGCCGGAGCGCGUCGGUCAUCCUUCUAGAGAACGGCGCUACCCUUCACUGGGUCGGCGUCGCAAUCUAGAUCUUUUACUUUGAAAAAAUUAGAGUGUUCAAGGCAGGCUCGCGCUGUGAAUACAUUAGCAUGGAAUAAUAAGAUAGGACUAUGGUACUAUUUUGUUGGUUUGUGCACCAUGGUAAUGAUUAAUAGGGACAGUUGGGGGUAUUCGUAUUCCAUUGUCAGAGGUGAAAUUCUUGGAUUUAUGAAAGAUGAACUCAUGCGAAAGCAUUUACCAAGGAUGUUUUCAUCA
rnacentral:rRNA from 1 species